UGUGCUGCCCGGGGAUUGGUGAACGCCGGGCUGGGCGGGGCCGGAAGAGCCGCGGCCGGGUGCCGUGCUCCCGCGCGGGGCGGGGCCGGUGCGGCCACGCGGUGCGAGGCGGAAGUCGGCGGCCGAGGGUCCGUGGGACGCGUGAGGAGUCGACUUGUGCUUGUCCAGAAAAAAAUGAGAGCUCCCACAUUCUGCUGUCAUUUCUACUCCAGUCCUGUGCUUCACCUCAGUAGGCUGUGAGGAUUUAAGGAAGUCAAAAGAAACCUCAGCAAUGCAAAGAAAUGGAUGAGAGGCAGGAUCGAUAGUUCUUUGGUGUUACCAGACCCUGAACUUCAGUUAAACUGAUCUACUCAGCUCCACCACUGGGCAGCCCUCAACGUUUUCCUGCCGACAUGAGAAGCAUUGCUGCAAAGUCUGAGAGGGAAGAGCCAUCCAAAAUCCAGUGUCUGUGACUUGGGAGAGGCAGUCUGUUACAAAAGCCUUUGCUCUCCGCCUUAUAAACUGAAUGGGAGGAAAAAACGCAGAUGACUUUCUCACCCUGACUGCUGUGGAAAUGGUGAAUUUGCUCGGUAUUCAUCACCUGCGACUGUCACCGGGCUACAGAUCAUCUGCACUCCGUGCUCUGAGGAGACAAUCUGCUGAGACAGGGGUGAGGCACGGAACGGAAAAAAAAACAAAAAUAAAAAAAAUCAGUCAGGUCGGGGACUGGGUUUGGUUGGUUCUGGUUGCUUGGUUUCUUUGUUGUGUUGUUUUUGUUUUGUUUGGGCUUUUGUUGUU